CUCACUACGGUGACAUCCGAUAAAAUUGAAACGAUAUAGAGAAGAUUAACAUGGCCUCUGUGCAAAGAUGACAUGCACAAAUCAAGAAAUGGUAUCAGAGACA